rnacentral:rRNA from 1 species
UACAGAGGUCUCAAGCGUUGUUCGGAUUCAUUGGGCGUAAAGGGCGCGUAGGCGGCGGGGUAAGGCGGGUGUGAAAUCUCAGAGCUCAACUCUGAAACUGCACUCGAUACUGCUCUGCUUGAGGACUGGAGAGGAGACUGGAAUUCACGGUGUAGCAGUGAAAUGCGUAGAUAUCGUGAGGAAGACCAGUGGCGAAGGCGGGUCUCUGGACAGUUCCUGACGCUGAGGCGCGAAGGCCAGGGGAGCGAACGGG